GCUAGGUGUGGUGGCGCACGCCUGUAGUCCCAGCUACUUGGGAGGCUGAGGUGGGAGAAUUGCUUGAACCCAGGAGGCAGAGGUUGAAGUGAGCUGAGAUUGUGCCACUGCACUCCAGCCUGGGCAACAGAGCGAGACUCCACCUCAA
rfam:Homo sapiens chromosome 4, GRCh38 reference primary assembly.